rnacentral:rRNA from 1 species
GUGCCAGCAGCCGCGGUAAUACGAAGGUGGCAAGCGUUGUUCGGAUUUACUGGGCGUACAGGGAGCGUAGGCGGUUGGGUAAGCCCUCCGUGAAAUCUCCGGGCCUAACCCGGAAAGUGCGGAGGGGACUGCUCGGCUAGAGGAUGGGAGAGGAGCGCGGAAUUCCCGGUGUAGCGGUGAAAUGCGUAGAGAUCGGGAGGAAGGCCGGUGGCGAAGGCGGCGCUCUGGAACAUUUCUGACGCUGAGGCUCGAAAGCGUGGGGAGCAAACAGGAUUAGAUACCCUGGUAGUCC